UACGAGGGGGGCAAAUGUUGUUCGGAAUCACUGGGCGUAAAGGGAGCGUAGGCGGGUUUCUAAGUCAGGUGUUUAAUCCCGGGGCCCAACCCCGGACAGGCACUUGAAACUGGGAAUCUUGAAUAGUGGAGAGGUCAGUGGAAUUGGGGGCGUAGCGGUGGAAUGCGUAGAGAUCCCCAAGAACACCAGUUGCGAAGGCGGCUGACUGGACACAUAUUGACGCUGAGGCUCGAAAGCAUGGGGAGCAAACAGG
rnacentral:rRNA from 1 species